rnacentral:rRNA from 1 species
GAACGAACGCUGGCGGCAUGCCUAACACAUGCAAGUCGAACGAGACCUUCGGGUCUAGUGGCGCACGGGUGCGUAACGCGUGGGAAUCUGCCCUUUGCUUCGGAAUAACAGUUAGAAAUGACUGCUAAUACCGGAUGAUGUCUUCGGACCAAAGAUUUAUCGGCAAAGGAUGAGCCCGCGUAGGAUUAGGUAGUUGGUGGGGUAAAGGCCUACCAAGCCGACGAUCCUUAGCUGGUCUGAGAGGAUGAUCAGCCACACUGGGACUGUGACACGGCCCAGACUCCUACGUGAGGCAGCAGUGGGGAAUAUUGGACAAUGGGCGCAAGCCUGAUCCAGCAAUGCCGCGUGAGUGAUGAAGGCCUUCGGGUCGUAAAGCUCUUUUACCAGGGAUGAUAAUGACAGUACCUGGAGAAUAAGCUCCGGCUAACUCCGUG